GUUUAUUCCAGGUGAAGGGUGCAGGACAACAGCAGCCUGAGCACCAGUGUGCACAGUAUUAAAUACACUAACAAAUCAGAGGGUGGACACAAAAGAGCAACUAAUAGGGAGUAGCAAGGGGAGGAGUGAGGGAGUUACAUCAACAGUCUAAAGCCAGUCAGGGUAGGAGGGAGGUAGAGGGCAGGUCACAUGGGCCAAAGGGGGUGUCAUGCUUUAGUGGAGUUCCAAGGGUGGGUCACAAUCAGGGAUUGGCCCACAGGGAGAGUGGCAUGGAAGGUUCAGGUUCAAGAAAAAGGAGCUGGGUUACCUAGACAGGCAGGGAAGCAACUGGAACAGAGGCUGGGGAAUGACUAAAGGGAUGCUCCCAGGGUCUCCACAGAACCCUGCUCCACUUCAGCCUUAAAAGCUCUUCUUCGAAUAUUUGCUACCACCAAGAUCUGGGCACCUGUGGCAGCUCCACCUGGACCUGCACCCCAAGCUUCGAGGCACACCGCAGGAGACGCAGCAGCAGCCGGCCACGGCAGCAGCUCGCCGUGCCCAGGGCCGCAGCCACAGCCCCUCCCCAUCUGGCUGCG